UCAUAUGUUGCAUAAACUAUGUGGUAGCAGAUGUUGAAUAUCAUGUCUGUCAAAUCGAGUAUAAACACUUGAAGUUAGAGGAUAUCUAAUUGGAAGACAUUAAUACAGUAAUUUUUCCAUUUCCAAAUUGUGCUGCAGAAAAGAGAUACAAGAAGAAUCAAAUAUGGGAAAUGAAGAAAUAAUGCAGUUUAAGGAGUUGAUCCAUGACCGUUUGAAAAGAGCUGCACCAUGUGGGAAUUACCACGAUAAAUGCCAGCAUGAUCGUCCG